rnacentral:lncRNA from 1 species
GUCCCCUCAUGGGUGCUACCAGAGUCCCUCCCCAGCCUGAGACUCCUGAAGCCCCAGACUCAGGGAUUUUCUUUCCACUAAGCUCUGAACAAGAAGCUGAAGCUCAAGGAAGGAGGUUCUGGGACUCAUCUCAGAUCCCAUGGCCAGGAAGCGGUGGCCACUCUGGAAUUCUUGACCCUGCCCAGACCAGCACCUUCCACAGCAGAGACCCCCUCCAAGGAGCGGGCGACGUGUGACUUCCCCAUGGGUGGACUCUGGGCUGCAGUGAUCGGCUAGCGGUGCCAUCUUUAGUCUGGGAGCUGUGUGAAGCCUGCUCCCCACCUUCCCCCUCCUGCAAAUAUUGGGGGAGGGGCAUGGAGGACAGGAAGAUAGAAGCAAAAGUGGCAGUGACCGGUGCAUGAGAGAUUGGGAGAUACGUGCUGGGGAGGGGUUCCCCGGAGCAGAGCUGGCUGCCCUUGGCACUGGGCCCAGGCGGAGGAGUGGCAAGACCAACAGUUCCUGGAGCACAAGUCCCUCAGCCGGUGCCCAGUGCCAGCCAUCGCCAUGUUCUCAUCUGCCAGCAGCAAAAUGAGAAAAAUAAGGACAAUAUAGUGAGGUUUUACUAAAGCUAGGUUUACUCAAUCCAAAAGACUGUCCUUUUAUCUGAGCUUUGUAUUUUCAAUCGUGUGUGUGUCUGUGUGUGUGUGUCUGUGUCUGUGUGUGUCUGUGUGUGUGAGCACAAAAGGACCUUUCCUUUGACAUUUCCUUUUAAUGACCUCAAACUCAGCAAAAUAAAAAAACUGGUGACUA